UUAGCUAUUAAGUAUUUAAAGGCAAGUCUUUUGAGAGUGAGUCUAUCUCCUCUAAUCCCAUGUAGAUUAAAUGAAAUUCAAGUUCUCAAAAUGGCUUGUCAUCAUCGUGGAAGAGGAAGGAAGACGUGUCUAAGAGGACACUUGGAAGAAGAAUUGCUUCCAAAAGAAGCCAUGGCGAUACAAUAUGGCUCUUUUUCUAAAGAUACAUGUCAGCUCCUGGCAGCACCCUAGUCUACUUCAAAGAAGAUGCAUUGAAGAGCCACCAUAUGAAGUUUGCUUCAAAGGUAGCAAGUUAGCCAUUGGAGGGGAGGAUCCAUUCUUCAAUUGCAGUCAGAAUCUUGUCCAAAAUGGGCAAAUGGGACAACGGAAAGUCAACUGUUAAGCUAUGCCAAAAUGAGUUCAUUUAUAUGAUGGAUUAUGUUGAUGGAUUUUCAUAUAUUAAACCAUUCCUGCAUCCCUACGACGAAGCCAACUUGAUCAUAGUGAAUGAAAUUCUACCAGAGAACGCCUACAGUUGAUAAACUCCUUCAGCAAAGUGGCUGGAUACAAAAUUAAUUCAAAGAAAUCAGUAUCCCUCCUUUAUAGAAAUGAUACAUUGACUAAGAAAGAAAUUAGGGAAAUAACACUCUUUAAAAUAGCUAUAAAUAGUAUAAAAUACUUUGCUGAACUUCUAACCUAGCAAGUAAAAGAUCUUUAUGGCAAAAACUUCUAGUCUCUGAAGAAAGAAUUUGAAGAAGAUAUCAGGAGAUGGAAAGAUCUCCCAUAUUCAUGAAUAGGUCAGAGUAAACACUGAAAAUGGUGCUCUUGCCAAAAGCAUUCUACAGAUUCAAUGCAAUUCCCAUCAAAAUUCCAAUGCAAUUUUUAUAGACCUUAAAAUAGCAAUUCUCAACUUUAUAUUAAAGAACAAAAAACCCAGAAUUGCCAAAAUAAUCCUGAACAAUAGAAGAACUGUUAGAAGAAUCACCUCAAGCAGUACUAUAGAGCAAUAGUUUUUAAAAUUUGCAUGGUACUGGUAUAGAAACAGACAUGUUGAUAAAAGGAAUAGAAUUGCAGGCCCAGAAAUAAACCCACACACCUAUAGUUAUUGAUUUUUGAUAAAGAAGCUAAAAGCAUACAAUGGAAAAAAGAAAGCAUAUUCAACAAAUUCUGCUGGUUUAACUAUAUGUCUAUAUAUAGAAGAAUGUACAUAGAUUCAUAUUUACUACCCUUUACAAACCUCAACUUCAUAUGGAUUAAGUUCAUCAAUAUAAAACCAGGAACAUUAAAUCUCACAGAGGAGAAAGUGAGAACUAAGCUUGAACACAUCGGUACAGAGACAAUUUCCUGAACAGAACACCAAUGGUUCAGGCUCUAAGAUCAAUAAUUGAUAAAUGGAACCUUAUGAAACCAAAAAACUUUUAUAAAGCAAAGUCAUUGUCGAUAGACAAAUGGAUGGAGCUGGAGAAUAUCAUACUAAGUUAGGUAACCCAGGCUCAAAAGAUCAAUCGUGGUAUGCACUCACUAAUAAGUGGAUAUUAGCCUAGAAAAUUGGAAUACCCAAAACAUAAUCCACACAUCAAAUGAUGUCCAAGAAGAAUGGAGGAGUGGCCCCUGGUUAUGGAAAGACUCAGUGUAGCAGUAUAGGGCAAUACCAGAACAGGGAAGU